rnacentral:rRNA from 1 species
GAUGAACGCUGGCGGCGUGCUUAACACAUGCAAGUCGAACGGUAAGGCCCUUCGGGGUACACGAGUGGCGAACGGGUGAGUAACACGUGGGUGAUCUGCCCUGCACUUCGGGAUAAGCCUGGGAAACUGGGUCUAAUACCGGAUAGGACCACUGCCUGCAUGGGUGGUGGUGGAAAGCCUUUGCGGUGUGGGAUGGGCCCGCGGCCUAUCAGCUUGUUGGUGGGGUGAUGGCCUACCAAGGCGACGACGGGUAGCCGGCCUGAGAGGGUGACCGGCCACACUGGGACUGAGAUACGGCCCAGACGCCUACGGGAGGCAGCAGUGGGGAAUAUUGCACAAUGGGCGCAAGCCUGAUGCAGCGACGCCGCGUGAGGGAUGACGGCCUUCGGGUUGUAAACCUCUUUCAGCACCGACGAAGCGCAAGUGACGGUAGGUGCAGAAGAAGGACCGGCCAACUACGUGCCAGCCGCCGCCGUAA